rnacentral:miRNA from 1 species
AUAGGACCCUAGUUAAAUUUAGGU